GGGGGCGACAAGGUUUCGACGGGGCUCAGGUCUGAGUGAGGGUAGCGGGUCGAGAUCCCGGCCGUUCUCGUUAAACAGGCUGGAAACAAACAACUGGCAAGCAAGAACUUGCUCUGGCCGCUUAGCAUAUAGGCAGCCUGUCGCGCCUCUAGCUCUCGCCGGAGAGGGCCGCGGCAUCAUUUAGGCGGGAUCACCUGCGUCGAGUGCCGCCGGCCUCGCAGGGAAACCAAGGUGGCUGGUCAGAGGCACCCGGCUUCCGCGGGGGCCCGAGGCGAGAAAUAAAAGCGGAAGCUACACCCGUACGAAGCCUUCUCCAGACGAGUUUCGGACGCGGGUUCAAUUCCCGCCGCCUCCACCA
rnacentral:tmRNA from 1 species